rnacentral:rRNA from 1 species
CCUACGGAGCGCAGCAGUGAGGAAUAUUGGUCAAUGGGCGGAAGCCUGAACCAGCCAAGUAGCGUGCAGGAUGACGGCCCUACGGGUUGUAAACUGCUUUUAUACGGGAAUAACGCGCCUUACGUGUAGGGCUUUGCAUGUACCGUAUGAAUAAGGACCGGCUAAUUCCGUGCCAGCAGCCGCGGUAAUACGGAAGGUCCGGGCGUUAUCCGGAUUUAUUGGGUUUAAGGGGAGCGUAGGCCGCAUGUCAAGCGUGCUGUGAAAUGUCCGGUCUCAACCCGGGCCUUGCAGCGCGAACUGGCGUGCUUGAGUCCGCGGAAAGCAGGCGGAAUUCGUCGUGUAGGGGUGAAAUGCGUAGAUAUGACGAAGAACCCCGAUUGCGAAGGCAGCUUGCUGCAGCGGAACUGACGCUGAUGCUCGAAAGCGCGGGUAUCGAACAGGAUUAGAUACCCUGGUAGUC